rnacentral:tRNA from 1 species
UCCCCGGUGGCGCAAUUGGCUAGCGCGUCAGACUGUUAAGUGAUUUCCUCACUUGUAAUCUGGAGGCUGAAAGUUCGAGCCUUUCCCGGGGAG